CUUCUUCAGAAACGAGUCACGCGUGUGGCGUGACCCCUCCCAUCGCUGUCAUCCUCCACCACCAAGCUCCACAACAGCACCACGCCUCCUUCUUCUUUCCCCUCCCUUAAAUCCAUCUGAGGUCCCCAAGCAAACCCUAGCCUCCUCUAUCUUCCCCUCCUCGCGCCGCCGCUGAACUUUCACCUCUCCCAGGAAACAAUCUCAGUUGAAAUUUCAGUUAAGCAGCGCCGGAGAAAUCGCCACAGCGUCGCUGGUUUCCGUCACCGUUCGCCGAGCUGAGCACCAGGAUGGAGUCCCCGUGGCCUCCUUUUCCUCCUCGUUGAGUCCUCGGAGCAGGAGCAGCUCCGGGAUGCCGUUUUUGUCUUCGUCUUCUCCGGUGCCGUACGUGCGCACCAUCGACGUCCGCUUCACCACGCCGUCGCUUCAGACCCCUUUGUGCUCUCCCGCUUCGCCAUCGACCUCCUGGUGGUCACCGCCGUGCUCAUCUGUUUUCCCCGGCGUCGUUUCAAGUCCCUGAGCCGUUCUUCUUCACCAUCGAGCCCCUGGCAUUUGCUUCUUCCUGGAUAGGACCACGAAGUGAUGAUGUCAGAUACGACGAGUUCUCCGACAAGUUCUUUUGCAGCUUUUCACAGGCGAGCCCACCUCCUUCACCUAUUUUACAGUUUCUUGCUCGUUGUUCUCUUGCUACCUCUAUGUUGCGAUUCUCGAGUCACAUGUCCUAUUCCACUGUUAACCAUAUGAGCCGUGUUAAAUAUCCGUCACCUAUCACCAUUGUUUGUUGAUUGAGCCUUUGCGAGUCGUAGCGCAUAUUUAGGAAUCUAUUGUUAUCUCUAUAUCUGUUGGGUUGUUGGGAGGUUCUCACAUGUUAUAUCAGUUAUCGGAGAUAAUCACACUUUACUUAAUUGUUAACAACUAAAAUUGUAAGCAGUGGCAUCUCUAAGCCCAUUUGCGAAAGCAUCGGAUCUUUGUCUCGCUAAUGUCCCCUAGGACCUGAGUUCUUGUUAUCUGUUCCGAAAUUGAGCGCUCUACCCGUACGUGGGGGAGUGGAACCUCCAUCACCCACUACCUUUCCUCGAGUCUGUUUAUUGGGAGCCACAACCUUGGUUUUAUUUGCUCAUAUGCAUGAUAUGCACGAUUUACUUCCUGUUGCCUUCGGGUGUUUAUAUUCUGUACUGUACUCCUAUCGCGGAUAGACUUAUCCUGUGCCUGGUCGUUAGUGCCCGUCUGGACUAUGUCGCAAACCUCUAGGUCCGUAUUGGAGUACGGCCGAACUUCGUCACGGGUAGCUUAGUUGGGUGGCUUCCAUUAAACUUUCUCUUGCAUUGGGAACGGUCUUGUUGUGAGACUCCACAUGUAGUAAGUGGAUUCAAGCAUACGUAUGGAUACAUUUGGGCAACCCCUGCAGGGUGUAGAUCUUAUCGAUAAGCCGUGUCCGCGGUUAUGGACAACUUGGAAUUGUAUGGCUUGAUCAUAGAACAACUUACACCUUUAUGUUGUUGCUAAUAACUUGCUAAUAAUUUGCGUAGUAACAUAGCAUUACUACAACCAAUAUCUAAUAAAACUUGUCCACCGUUGAGUGUCUUUUACAUUCCCUCUUCGCUUUGUUGAAGGGGAUAUGUGUAAUCGGCUGGGUUAUGUUUGUCUAGUAUUUAGCUGUUAGCUUGUGCGCUCUCUCAUCUUCUCUGAUUAGAUGAAAGUUGUAGCGUGUUUCUAUAAGUUAGUCAAGCUUUGCUGCCGCUAAACUCCACAUAUAGCCGGGCGAUGUUUAUGCCCGCCCACCAGCGAGCACAGCUGGUCUUGUCUCGCAAGUACGUGCCACUGGUACUUACCCUCGCCUUUCUUUCUCUUUUGUCUUUCACCCCCUUUUGUCGGCAACCGAUGGCCCGACUUUUGCAGGUUUGAGAUGACGACAUUAGCAAGGUUACCCUCCAGCUUGUCCUGGGCAGGGUUAUGGACGCCACUGGUUAUCGGUUAUCUUCAGGACUCUUAGUCCAAUUUGUAUCUUGUCCGUACUCGGACGUAUUUGAUCUUCUGUAUGAUUUGGAUCUUUGUAUUGUAUAUUUGUAUUCUUGACUCGUUGGAGUUGUUGUUGUAAUAUAUCUGUUUCUUAUGGGCUC